AGAUUAAAAUUAAUUAGGCUUCUAACCUAAACUUAAUGGAUUAUCCAUUUUAAUCUU
rnacentral:tRNA from 1 species